GAUGACCUUUGGCGGCGUGCCUAACACAUGCAAGUCGAGCGAUUCUCUUCGGAGAAGAGCGGCGGACGGGUGAGUAACGCGUGGGUAACCUGCCCUGUACACACGGAUAACAUACCGAAAGGUAUGCUAAUACGAGAUAAUAUGCUUUUAUCGCAUGGUAGAAGUAUCAAAGCUUUUGCGGUACAGGAUGGACCCGCGUCUGAUUAGCUAGUUGGUAAGGUAACGGCUUACCAAGGCGACGAUCAGUAGCCGACCUGAGAGGGUGAUCGGCCACAUUGGAACUGAGACACGGUCCAAACUCCUACGGGAGGCAGCAGUGGGGAAUAUUGCACAAUGGGCGAAAGCCUGAUGCAGCAACGCCGCGUGAGCGAUGAAGGCCUUCGGGUCGUAAAGCUCUGUCCUCAAGGAAGAUAAUGACGGUACUUGAGGAGGAAGCCCCGGCUAACUACGUGCCAGCAGCCGCGGUAAUACGUAGGGGGCUAGCGUUAUCCGGAAUUACUGGGCGUAAAGGGUGCGUAGGUGGUUUCUUAAGUCAGAGGUGAAAGGCUACGGCUCAACCGUAGUAAGCCUUUGAAACUGGGAAACUUGAGUGCAGGAGAGGAGAGUGGAAUUCCUAGUGUAGCGGUGAAAUGCGUAGAUAUUAGGAGGAACACCAGUUGCGAAGGCGGCUCUCUGGACUGUAACUGACACUGAGGCACGAAAGCGUGGGGAGCAAACAGGAUUAGAUACCCUGGUAGUCCACGCCGUA
rnacentral:rRNA from 1 species